rnacentral:misc_RNA from 1 species
GAUUAAAAAUGGCACACGUAUAUUUUUAUGUAUACACAACAGGGUUACAAGACAAACCCUAAAAUUCAACACCAUAUACCAAUAAAUCUAAAAGUUAGCAAUUGACAUUGAAGACGAGGAUGGAUUGAGGCCGAGUCAACUCACCUGGGUGAGAUCCAUUUUCAGAAAGAUUUAGCAAUUUAUCAAGAUUUUGAAUGCUGCUUUUCCGUGAUAAAUAUGUGCAUAAGCUAAAUAAAGCUUCUCUUCUUCUGGUAAUUCUGUUGUUAUCGAGCGAGACAGAAAGCAGCAGAGAAGCUUUCUUGC